CCUACGGGAGGCAGCAGUGGGGAAUAUUGGACAAUGGGCGCAAGCCUGACCCAGCGACGCCGCGUGAAGGAAGAAGGCUUUCGGGUUGUAAACUUCUUUUAAGAGGGAAGAACAGAUGACGGUACCUCUUGAAUAAGCCCCGGCUAACUACGUGCCAGCAGCCGCGGUAAUACGUAGGGAGCAAGCGUUGUCCGGAUUUACUGGGUGUAAAGGGCGGGUAGCCGGGAGUACAAGUCAGAUGUGAAAUCCCGGGGCUCAACCGCCGAACUGCAUUUGAAACUGUAUUACUUGAGUGCUGGAGAGGCAAGCGGAAUUCCUAGUGUAGCGGUGAAAUGCGUAGAUAUUAGGAGGAACACCAGUGGCGAAGGCGGUUUACUGGACAGCAACUGACGGUGAGGCGCGAAAGCGUGGGGAGCAAACAGGAUUAGAUACCCUUGUAGUC
rnacentral:rRNA from 1 species